rnacentral:rRNA from 1 species
GAUGAACGCUGGCGACAGGCUUAACACAUGCAAGUCGAGGGGAAACGACGUGGCAGCUUGCUUUCCCGGGCGGCGACCGGCGCACGGGUGAGUAACUCGUAGCCAACCUGCCUCUGACUGAGGGAUAACCCGUCGAAAGUCGGCCUAAUACCUCAUGGCAUCUUCUGCGUGCAUCCAACGACUUUUAACGAUUUCAUCUUUCAGGGACGGGGUUGCGUCUGAUUAGGUUGUUGGCUGGUUGACGACCCACCAGGGCUACGAGCAGUAGGGGUUUUGAGAGGAAGGUCCCCGACAGUGGAACUGAGACAAGGACAAAACUCCUAGGGGAGGCAGCAGUGAGGAAUAGAGGUCAGUGGGAGGGAGCCUGAACCAGCGCGGGAGCGUGCAGGAUGACCGCCCUAUGGGUUGUACACUUCUUUUAUGAGGGGAUAAAGUGGGGGAAGGGUCCUUCAUUGCAGGUACCGCAUGAAUAAGGACCGGCUAAUUCCGUG